UCGGAUUCCCUACGCUCCCAUCUCUCUUCAAAUUUCUUUUUUCUACCUCUUUUUACUGUACUUUGUCGGUGUAAAUCUUGUUCUGAUUGAAUUUUAGUUUUUUUUUUUGGUGUGUGUGCUGUGAAUUUUCUGAGGAAAUUUUGGUACCUUUGUCACAUUUGAUAAGUGUGGAGGAAAGAUGGUGUGGUUUGGAAUCCUUGGGUACCCCAUGAGUAUAUGGGGGAUAUGUUAAUUUUGAGGAUCCAGCUGUACACGUGGGUCCCACUAUUUCCGUGAUAUAAAACCGUCAAUGUAGUGGGUCACAUCGUUGAUAGGAGCGAUCACAAGAACCGUCUACCAUUUGAUGAUCCUUACCAUCCGAUGAUUUUCCUGUUAUAUGUGGACUCGUGGACGGUUGGCUGUAAGUGUCCGUGUAAAUAAUGGUUCAACAAUCAGAAGAAUGGGAUCAUUGGUUAGGGGGAUAUAUGGGGUGUGUUUUAUCCUGUAUGGGGCACACUAGAAGAUUGCUUAAACUACUGAAAGUUGGCUCUAGUAUUUGGUGGAAUGUUAUUGUCUUUCCAUUUGAGGAUCCGGCUAUGCAUGUGGGUCCCGCCAUUUUCAUUAUAUAAAACCGUUGAUGUAGUGGGUCACAUUGUUGAUGCGAGUGAUCUCAAGAACUCUCUAUCCUUGGAUGAUCCUUGCCAUCUGACGAUUUCCCUGUUAUACAUGGACAGUUGUCUGUAAGCGUUUUUGUACGUUUUGGCUCACCAAUCAAAUGGAUAAGAUUAUUAGGUGCAUUGGAUGAAUGGCUUUAACUACCGGAAGGUGGGCCUUUUGUACCUUUGCAAGGGUAAGAUGUGCCAAUCGUUUUGGAGAGAAGCUACAUCACAGGCUUUAAACAGCUCGAUGUAUGAAAUGAAACCACUGGUUGCCUGUAAGAUAUAAGUUUCCGGGCUUUUGAUUUUGGCAUUGACAAGUGCAUUGGAUUUUGCAAUGUAUUCAUCACUUUGUUAUAAGUUUCAUUGUUGCAAUAUCUUCCAUUUGGCCGCUUCAAAUUAUAGGCAUUAGAUUAAUGAUUUGGAAUGACUUACCUACCCAAAGCAAUAGCCAAUUCUGUGCAUGAUUCUUUUUCGCAGUCUAUAUGGAAAAAACCAGAAAAACAGAGCGAUAGUCGACAUCCCAAUCAACCCAUAAUUUCUAAUCUCAAAGCCCAUAGAAUAAUAAUUCAAAUAAUUUGAUAAUAAAGAAGUACUAAUUUGUAGUCUUUUAGGAUUCUCAUAUCCACAGUUAAAGAUUCAAAUGAGGGAGGGGGGAGCUUUGAAUUAACAGAAUAGAUGAGGAGUCAAAGUUGCUUUGGGUUACUCCCGGGCAAGUUAAGUGAGGUAGUUAUUGAUUUGACUGUGGACAAGAAGAUUUGGAAAUGGGUAGCAGAUGGAUUUUUUUCUUCUUCUAACAUCGUUCUCAUGGGUCAUUUCCUCCCAUGUUGAGGACUCCCCCUCUUCUGCUAACAUAUGGGAGGAAGAACAACCUGCCUAGGGUGCAACUAUGCAAUAUUUUACUUGGAUGGCUAAUGCUAUUUAAAUCCUCACUCUCAAGAACAUGAAAAAGAGGCAUUUUUUAAACUUCCGAAUGUCUACAUUUUGGAAUGACAUGGAGAAGGUGGACCACACAUUCCUCCUGCCCAGUGGCUAGGGAUUCAUGGGAUUAUUUCUUCAGUUCUUUUAGGGUUGAGCUGGGCUCUUAAUAACUUGCUCAAGGAAGUGAUCAAUUGGUGGUUGCACGGGUACAAUUUCAUCUGAGGGGAAACGUUUUGCGGAGGUUGAUGUGCCCUUUGCAAUCUUGUGGUGGCUUUGGAAAGAAAGAAAUAGAAGGGUUUCUGAUAACAAGAGGCGCUGGUGCACGUGAUCAGAAGUUAAUUUCUUCUAGAUGAUCGAUUGGGCUCUUGUCGGCAAAUUAUUACACAUAGGACAUCUGGAGAUAGGGUCUCAAUGAUGUCAAGGGGUAGGAAGUUUCAGAAGUCAGCAAAGGGGCCCUGUAUGCUGCCUCAAGAUAGUCUCCUUAAGAUUAAUUUUGAAGGCUGUGGGCAAUUCUAGCCAUCAGGGAUCAACAGGAAGUUGAGUCACGAGACGGGUCAGAUUGUGUGCAUUGUUUCCAGUCUUGUGGGUUCUUUCAAGUAGCUUGUGAUUGAUUGACCCUUCGUUUUCUUGGAAGCUGAUUACUAAGGGAAGUUUUCAUCUUGUAUUUCAGUGGGUAUUGGUGGAUUGGGAGGGCCCUUGGAGGUUUGCCUCCUGUAUCUAGGAAAUUAAAUGCUUGGCCCAUUUCAGUAAUGCUUAUUUUGUGGCUUGUAAGGUAGCCAAUGCGGUGGUUGUUAGACUUGCCUUUGAGGGAAUGUUGUCAAAUCGCAUAAAAUCUCAUAAGCCAUUAGCAUGGGCUGAUCUUUUAUGUCGCAUAAUCGCAUAAGCCAUCAGCCUGGGCUGAUCUUUUAUGCCAUCGCAUAAUUGCGUAAGCUAAUGGCUUCUUCUUUUUUAUUUGAAAAUUAAAAAAAAAAAAGGUAAAAAAAUAAAAAAAAAAAUCUAAAAAAAGAAAGAAAACUAUGUAUAAUUACCACGAGUGAUUGGAUUGGGUUUAUUUACCUAUUUCAUUAUAGUUUGACUAUUAGGCCAUCUAUAUGCUGAGUUAUAUUAUAUUAUAUCAUAUAUAACAAAACAAAUUUAAAUAAUCAACAAGUUACACCAAGAAAAAAUUAAUUAUUGAAAACUACAAAUAUAAAAAUUGUAUUGAUAACUUGAAUCUCAAUGAGUUGAUGCAUGCAAGACAAGUUACCUUACAACUUACAACCAAGGUAUUCCGUAUCAGUAACGGUGGCUGUAAUGGUCACCACCAUUACUGAUACGGAGGCGUAACGACUGUUAUGACCCCCGUAACGGUUGAAAAUUUUCUUUUGCCUGAAAAAUUCUGAAAAAAAUAUCUAGAAAAUCAAGAAUAAUGUAAAUAUUUCAAAUAUGUAUUCAAUUUUUUGUUUUAAACAUGUUUAUAACAGUAUAAUGGUCCACUCUUUAGUCAGAGUGUUGUAUCGGGUUGUCUAGUGAAUUGUUUAAUAUAAUUAUGUCUCUAAUGUUUACACAUCACAAUCAAGCAUUAGAACUAGAAAUCAGAAAAAUGCAUAAAUACUGCUUUUUCAAUUUUUUUUUUUUAAAAAGGCCCUCGGAGAUUCUAUUCGCUCAAAUCACUUCAAUCCACAGUUUUAAUCUUAAAAGCUAUAGUAAGAGUGGUCGAAAUCUGUUGUAAAAUGAUAUGGGAAAGUUUUUAGAAUGAGAAAAGUGAAAAAGAUGAGAAAAUUGAAUUUAAAUAAGAAAAAAAAAGUGAUCGUUUUUCGACUGUUAUGGGAGUAACGAUUGUUAUGCCCUGUAACAGCCUUUACGGCACUGUAACGGCUGAUACGGUUUCAAAAAACCAACUACCCCUUUUCACCCCCGUAUCGCGUAAUGGUCAUGGCGUUGCCUAUAUGUAUAGGCCUUUACGGGUGUAUCGUAACGGAUACGGAACACCUUGCUUACAACUUAUUACAAUCUACAGGAAACUUGAUUGUUGGCCAUUAUGCUAUGGCAUGCUAAAGUAUGCCAUGAUUAUUCGAUUAUGCCAUCGCAUAAUUAUGGCAUACUUUAAUAUGCCAUGGCAUACUUCCUGCAUGACAUAAGCGAUUUGAGCCAUGGUAUAUGAUUUUGCGAUCACAUAUGACCACACUGUGAGAGGAGGGUCACUCCAAUCAUUGCCCCUGUUGUAAAUUGUAAUGCCUUUCAGUUUCUUAGUGCAAUUUGUCACCUGUCAAUGCCAUAAUUUAAAAAAAAAAAAGAAAAAGGGGGCAACUAUUAAACAAUGUGUUAGAUCUCGUCCAUUGGUACAGUUAGCGUCAAACGACUAGGAUUUGAUUAGAAUUCUAUCUUUUUUUCAUUCAUGAUAUUCAUAUUUUUAGAUUACAAUUGCGAAAAUCCAAAAUCCUGGAGCUACUAUCCAAUUUAUAAUCUGAUGUAGCUCGACCCUUAAAAAUGACGCCUAUUUUUUCCAAUUAAGAAAAUACUACUUAUCACUAAGACUUCUGACAGUUUCAGAAACUGACACUCCCUAAACUUGCAAAUUAAAUUUUCCAAUAAAACAUGAAAGAACUGGAGACUAAUUCUUCAAAAAACAAAAACAAAAACAAAAAACAAAAGAUGGAAAAACCGCCCUAAAUAGCUUACUAACACCCUUCUAAAAAAAGGCUAAGGAACUGUUUGAAUUCAUGGAAAGUGUGGGAAAGGAAACAGUGGUUCCCAACAAUAUUUCCAAGAAAGUGUCGGAAAGGAAACAUUGUUUGUUUAUCAGCAACGUUCUCCCGAGAAACUUUUGGACUGUUUCCAAAUCAUAUGUCUGGCAAAAUAAAUCUUUCCUAAGAAAUUUUUUCCCCUAGUAGCAACGAUUCUCAAAGAAAGAGUUGAAAUCCUCUCCUGACCAAUGUUUCCAAGACAGUGUGGGGAAGGAAACAUUGUUUGUUUAUCAACAACAUUUUCCUGAGAAACUUUUGGACUGUUUCCAAAUCAUAUGUUUGGCAAAACUAAAUUUUCCUAAGAUUUUUUUUUUUCCCAUAGUAGCAACAAGUGUCAAAGAGAUUUGAUAAUCGAAGGUCUGAAAUCCUCCAGUCUGAGAGUUUUUUUGGGUAUUCCCCAUCCACAUUGAGGCCCAUCACACGGUUUGGAUCAUUGAAACAUGGACCUAAAUCUUUUGUCUACAAUCCAUCUCCAUGGUUUGGCAUUUGGAUCAUUCUACAUCUCUACCAACUAAAGCCUAAUCACAUCCACAGAGGUAAAACAGUUCUAGCUUCUGGUCUGCUUAUUAAAUAAUCGUAUGCAUCAGUUGGGAACCCAUAGCAAUAGUUCAUUAUGGGUGUGUUAUAUAUGAAGCAAAUGUUAAAGCAAGCGGCUGCAAUUCCUGUCACCAUUCCAUCUUUCUCUGAGAUUAAGAAAGUUUAACUAUGUCAGAACUAUGUUGUGGAUGCUUUCACCAUACAGUUCCUCUAAUGAUCAUUUAUUAUGUGUAUCAUAUUCUGUCAUUUUUUUAUAUAGUAUACGUGCCUUUUUGUCAAGAUGAAUUAUAGGGUUGAAGAUCUGCAGUAUCAUUUUUCUGCUUUGUUGGGUUGCCUUUUGCUCCCUUUUAAUAAAGUGCAAUCUUAAAUAAUAAUAAUAAUAAGACCUGCAAUAUCAUUGUUCAUUGAGUUUAGACAAGUGGGCCAGCUCAAUGAUCCAUAUUGAGACAAUGGCAUAUGAUGACCCCCUCUCAAAUGGUAGGUCCACAAUAGAUGGUUAUGCAGCAAAAGAUUGAAAAUGACAUAAUGUUUUGCAUCCAAUAAAAAAUCAGACCAAAGAUUUAACACCUAGGAUCUUCCCAUAGCACCUAUGUAAAUUCCAAACAAAUCAUAGGACUGACUCCCACCUUUU